rnacentral:rRNA from 1 species
CUUGAGACCGUGACUGCGUACCUUUUGUAUAAUGGGUCAGCGACUUACAUUUAGUAGCGAGGUUAAGCGAAUAGCGGAGCCGUAGGGAAACCGAGUGUUAACUGCGCGUAUAGUUGCUAGGUGUAGACCCGAAACCCGGUGAUCUAGCCAUGGGCAGGUUGAAGGUUGAGUAACAUCAACUGGAGGACCGAACCGACUAAUGUUGAAAAAUUAGCGGAUGA